UACGAAGGGGGCGAGCGUUGUUCGGAUUUACUGGGCGUAAAGGGCGCGCAGGCGGCUCAUUUUGUCAGGCGUGAAAGCCCCGGGCUUAACCUGGGAACUGCGUUUGAUACGGAUGGGCUAGAGUUCGGGAGAGGAGAGUGGAAUUCCCAGUGUAGAGGUGAAAUUCGUAGAUAUUGGGAAGAACACCGGUGGCGAAGGCGGCUCUCUGGGCCGAGACUGACGCUGAGGCGCGAAAGCGUGGGGAGCAAACAGG
rnacentral:rRNA from 1 species